ACGACGCUCUGCCGGUCAUAAAUUCUUCUGAGCGCCCCUUGAGUUUCUUCUACUAGUUCCAAAAUAGUGAUACUUUCUUUUUCUCCUUCAUGCUCGUGGAGCAAAGAGAUCCUAUGAAUGCUGGACUAAUUUAAUAAGUAAUUUGAGAGCCUGCUU